rnacentral:rRNA from 1 species
AUUGAACGCUGGCGGCAGGCCUAACACAUGCAAGUCGAGCGGAUGACGGGAGCUUGCUCCUUGAUUCAGCGGCGGACGGGUGAGUAAUGCCUAGGAAUCUGCCUGGUAGUGGGGGACAACGUUUCGAAAGGAACGCUAAUACCGCAUACGUCCUACGGGAGAAAGCAGGGGACCUUCGGGCCUUGCGCUAUCAGAUGAGCCUAGGCCGGAUUAGCUAGUAGGUGAGGUAAUGGCUCACCUAGGCGACGAUCCGUAACUGGUCUGAGAGGAUGAUCAGUCACACUGGAACUGAGACACGGUCCAGACUCCUACGGGAGGCAGCAGUGGGGAAUAUUGGACAAUGGGCGAAAGCCUGAUCCAGCCAUGCCGCGUGUGUGAAGAAGGUCUUCGGAUUGUAAAGCACUUUAAGUUGGGAGGAAGGGCAGUAAGCUAAUACCUUGCUGUUCUGACGUUACCGACAGAAUAAGCACCGGCUAACUCUGUGCCAGCAGCCGCCGUAAGAC